rnacentral:piRNA from 1 species
UCCUCUAAGAGAUAUAUUGACUGAUCAA